rnacentral:rRNA from 1 species
GAGUUUGAUCAUGGCUCAGGAUGAACGCUAGCGACAGGCUUAACACAUGCAAGUCGAGGGGCAGCGGUGGUGAAGGCUUGCCUUUACCAGCCGGCGACCGGCGCACGGGUGAGUAACACGUAUGCAACCUGCCUGCCACAGCCGGAUAAUCGGGAGAAAUUCCGUCUAAUACGGCAUAAUGCAUCGACGGGACAUCCUGUUGGUGCCAAAGGUUGAUUCCGGUGGCGGAUGGGCAUGCGUCGCAUUAGUUAGUUGGCGGUGUAACGGACCACCAAGACGACGAUGCGUAGGGGUUCUGAGAGGAAGGUCCCCCACACUGGUACUGAGACACGGACCAGACUCCUACGGGAGGCAGCAGUGAGGAAUAUUGGUCAAUGGGCGGGAGCCUGAACCAGCCAAGUCGCGUGAGGGAUGACGGCCCUAUGGGUUGUAAACCUCUUUUGCCGGGGAGCAAAGUGCCGCACGUGUGCGGUUUGGAGAGUACCCGGAGAAAAAGCAUCGGCUAACUCCGUGCCAGCAGCCGCGGUAAUACGGAGGAUGCGAGCGUUAUCCGGAUUUAUUGGGUUUAAAGGGUGCGUAGGCGGACGCUUAAGUCAGCGGUAAAAUUGCGGGGCUCAACCUCGUCGAGCCGUUGAAACUGGGUGCCUUGAGUGGGCGAGAAGUACGCGGAAUGCGUGGUGUAGCGGUGAAAUGCAUAGAUAUCACGCAGAACUCCGAUUGCGAAGGCAGCGUACCGGCGCCCAACUGACGCUGAAGCACGAAGGCGUGGGUAUCGAACAGGAUUAGAUACCCUGGUAGUCCACGCAGUAAACGAUGAAUGCUAGUUGUCCGGGGCGAUUGAGUUCUGGGUGACACAGCGAAAGCGUUAAGCAUUCCACCUGGGGAGUACGCCGGCAACGGUGAAACUCAAAGGAAUUGACGG